rnacentral:tRNA from 1 species
CAAAAUGUAGCUUAACCAAAGCCUUUCGCUUACACCGAAACUAUAUCUGUUAAAACCGGAUCAUUUUGA